rnacentral:rRNA from 1 species
UGGAAUUCGCCCUUAGAGUUUGAUCAUGGCUCAGGAUGAACGCUGGCGGCGUGCUUAACACAUGCAAGUCGAACGAACCUUCGGGUUAGUGGCGGACGGGUGAGUAACGCGUGGGAAUCUGCCCUCAGGAGGGGGAUAACGGUUGGAAACGACCGCUAAUACCCCAUAUGCCGAGAGGUGAAAUGAAUUUCGCCUGAGGAUGAGCCCGCGUCUGAUUAGCUUGUUGGUGAGGUAAUGGCUCACCAAGGCAUCGAUCAGUAGCUGGUCUGAGAGGAUGAUCAGCCACACUGGGACUGAGACACGGCCCAGACUCCUACGGGAGGCAGCAGUGGGGAAUUUUCCGCAACGGGCGAAAGCCUGACGGAGCAACGCCGCGUGAGGGACGAAGGCCUCUGGGCUGUAAACCUCUUUUCUCAAGGAAGAAGAUAUGACGGUACUUGAGGAAUAAGCCACGGCUAAUUCCGUGCCAGCAGCCGCGGUAAUACGGGAGUGGCAAGCGUUAUCCGGAAUUAUUGGGCGUAAAGCGUCCGCAGGCGGCUUUUCAAGUCUGCUGUUAAAACGUGGAGCUUAACUCCAUCAUGGCAGUGGAAACUGAUUUGCUUGAGUAUGGUAGGGGCAGAGGGAAUUCCCGGUGUAGCGGUGAAAUGCGUAGAUAUCGGGAAGAACACCAGUGGCGAAGGCGCUCUGCUGGGCCAUUACUGACGCUCAUGGACGAAAGCCAGGGGAGCGAAAGGGAUUAGAUACCCCUGUAGUCCUGGCCGUAAACGAUGAACACUAGGUGUCGGGGGAAUCGACCCCUUCGGUGUCGUAGCUAACGCGUUAAGUGUUCCGCCCUGGG